UGAAAGCCAAGCUUGACCUUGCCUAAGCUGGGGAGAGAAGAUGACAUAAUGAAAACUUUCAGUGUAUUAUUAGUUGCUCUCUCACUCACUUGUAGAAGGAAAAGCACUACAAUUCAUCACCAGAGAGUUGUGUGCAGCUCAGUGUGCCUGACCCAAGACUCAGAUCUGAGCACCUGCCCAUUUUGGGGAAGUGAAGCAUCUGGCACAGCCUUCAGAGCUGAGAGUUGUCUUUAUUGUGGGCUCUGGCAAACUUCAGAUUUGAAUUACCUGGCACUGUGGGGAAGUAGGAACUCGGCAGUUGUCCCUUCAAAGUGUUAUACUACAAAUGUUGGACUGUUGUAGCUGAGGAUGAAUUGGAUAAGAAAACUAUACUGAUAACAGUGCACAUCUCUUUGAUACAAGAACACCUUGAAAUUCUGUCUAGCUAACCCCAUUGUGGCUACAUACAUUAUUUCUGCAAAAGACUCCUCACUAGAUGAUUGUGAUUCCCUAAAACAUGGAGAUGUAGAAUACUUGGCUACAUGACAAACAUUUGUACUCACAAGGGUAGUGCAAAAAAAUGUGGAUUAUAUAGAUUAUAAUGUUGGUAUGGAAUAGCUAUAAAAGACUGGAGUGAGAUUCUAAAUGAGAUUUCUGUGUAAUGUUCUCUUUAUGUCAAGGCUAGUUAUUCACUUUCUGGAGGAAAUGCUUACCUCUUGGUUACAGUUUGUCAAGGCUUUUGGGGAUAUUAGCAUGUUACUUUGAAGAUGGCCGUGCUAGUUUUCUGAGUUUUUUGUUGGAAUUCUAAGUGCUGAAUAUUACAAAUAAUCUCUGGAAACUACAUAUAAGUACUCUUACAGAAUUCAGUGAUCUUCCAAAGAAUUUUCUGAGAAAACCAAAGAAUUUUCUGAUGAGUGUGACUUGGGAGCUUAAUCUUGCUAUUUUGUUAUCCUAGGAUGGCUGAUUUAUUUUGUCCAUAUGAUUUCAAGUGCAAUUUCAGUUACCUAUGAAAAGUUUGAUGAAGUCACUGGGAACUGGAUGGACCAAGAACAGCUCUCGAUCCUUAUUGUUUAGAAUUGAGCAAGUCCAAUAGGUCUUCAAUUUUAUGUAGAAAAAAAUAUAUAUAGGUGAAGUUUCAAGGAUAAACAGAUCUUUAGUCUUCAAAAUACAAUGGAAGACAAAUCAAAUCUACAGUAGUAAAUUCCUACAAAAUGAAUUCAGAAAUGAGAAGUUUGUGGCUUCCAAAAUCAGACAUAAGUACUCAAAAUGAUAGGUGAGUGUGUAAGAAAAGAAAACAUUUCUGUAAGCAUGUAUUCAAUAUUUAUAUAAUGUAUCCGUAUGCAUGUAUAUAUAUUUAGUUUUA
rnacentral:lncRNA from 1 species